AGCUACGUCGUGGAUCCGGCUGAUUUCAAAGGAUUGGCCCGUGCAUGCUGUGGCGCACCAGGCCAACGCUUCCAACCAUUGCCACGUGUACAUGCCAGAGAUACCCAGCAGUGCGAGCAAAUCUCCAGCUGCGCGCGGGAGCCGACAGCAACACUAUUCAAAGAAGAAAAAACCUGCGGACGCAUCCCAACUACCGGCGAUUUCUACCCGCGAAAAAUCUAGGUUUUUUCCCCCCUUUCCCUCCAUUGGCUCUGGCAGAGCGUCUGAGACACAACCUCUAUCUCAUUCGCAGGAUUCUGAGAGCGGAAUCGGUUUUCGCGCCGGAAUCAACCUCUCGACGAAGCUCCACCAGGUCUAAUUUUCAAUCUUCAACGGUACCUCUAGUGCCUUUUGGAGUGUCUGGAAACUAUGCCUCUGCCUUGUUUGCCGGACAAAGAACCUUUCAAAAAAAGAAUAAUAAAAUGCCGGACAAAUUUGAAUCUGAGAUUCUUGACAUUGUUGAGGCUUCCAAGAAAAGUCCUGUUUUUUCACAGUUCAUAAAGGAUUUAUCUGUGCCCGGGGAGACCGGGGUAAAGACUAUACAAGAGAAAUUUUCUUAAGGUGGAUUUUCAGAUAGGAAAAACAACUGAAGGAGACAUUGUAGGAUAUUAUUGGAUGUGGGAAGAUGAAGCUUGAACAGAAGAUGCAUUUUUGUAUGUGUGCCCUUCCGAUGAUCCUAUUGGUCUAAUUUUCAAGUCAUGGAACCUGACAGUUGGGUUCACUGGAUGUACGGCUCGGAUAUUGUACAUUGCGAGGUGUUCUAUUCUAACAUCCUCCGCAGAUCAAUCAGAUUUUACUCGGGGGAUUGGUGGUGGAAUUUGGGUAAAAAUUCUUUGACAUGUAGAUCACGACGAGGGCCAGGCAGAUGGAGAA